GAGGCCGGUCACCAGGAUGCCCUGGAGCCUCCCUGGGAGAAGAGCAGUGGCCUCUGUGGAGUGUUCAGGGGAACUGGAAGAUCAGUACCCCCAAACUUCCCCCACUUCCCGACUAGUCCUAUGUCUCCUUUGCAUAAGGGGAGAGGGUCAGGCCAGGCUUUAUCUGGAUUGCUUCUUGCCAGAACCACAAAAGACCAAUUUCCUCAGUGAGAGCUUUUGUUUUCAGAAGGGGCCGCAGCUCAUCCCGGGAGAAGCCAUUGUUUCUGCAGAGGAUUUUUAGAUCAGCUGCUGGCUUCUGGUGCCCUUCUCCUGUGAGUUCUCCCGUUCUUUUUGUGCUGCCCUGCUUUCCUGGACAUAAACAACAAAUGGUCCUAUUCACCCUGGAGAUAAGAUUGUGCUUCUCCCAAAGUCACUGCUGUCUUCUCACUGCCUCUGGAACUGUUUGAAUAAUGAGGCUCCUAGAGAAUUUGUGUUGUUUUAUCCUUUUCUUCACUGAGACUGGAGAUUCCCUAGGCAGCCCUGGUGGGCAGUGCCUACAGGGGGUUGCCUGGGGGUGGCUAACACAGGGCAGCCGCCCAAGAGAGCUUUUUGUUUCUUACGUUAAUCUGGGUGCCGUGGAACUUUAAAAAAUGUUUAUAUAUGCUGGUUUCUCUUCCUUUUAUUUUUUAAUUUUUUUUCCUGACAAGACAAACAAUAGCUCUUAGGCAAAGAAUUCCCCACCCUACAGAAAUGGUGGAAACCUUCAGCCUGUGAUUUCCUUCCACCUCCUAGAAGCUGCUAUGGCUCCAGUAAGACUUGCAAAGGGAAUGGAGAGGAUGUCAGGCAGAGUUGGCAGCCAGCUUAUUAUGUCAAAGCACUUCUUCCUUUGGGAUCUUGUCCACCCUCCAUCCGCUGCUGGACUUAUUGCUAGAAGACCUGGAUUUAAGUUACAGCUCUGCUGCUUACUAAGCCUGUGACCUUAGGCAAAGCACUUUAAUCCUCAAACUUCAUUUUCUUAGUCAGUUAGAGGUGGUGGAUAAUUCUUCCAACUUCAUGUUUGUGAUGAGACUCAAGCAACAAUAAUGGAUGAAAAAAUGCUUUGUGAACUGACAAGUAAUAUACAAAUGUCAAGCAUCCCUUGAAUGUUUAUGAAACACCCAUCAUAUGCCAGACCUUGUGCCAAGUGCUCAGGAUGCAAGAGAUAAAGAUUUGAGAAAUGCAUUGUGUGACUAAGGUGACAAAGAAACAACAGCAAUUCACUGGGCUAAGUGGUUUGUACAACAACCAGGAGAGAGCAGAUUAAUUCUGUCUAGGAGCUCAGGAUGGCACUUGAACCAGACUUUGAAAAAUGUGCACAGGAUUUUGCCAUCAGAGAAACAAGGUGAGGACAUGUUAAGCAGAGAGGACUUUGAACCAAAGCUCUGAAGCACAGAGGUCUAUGAUCUAUCAGUGGCAGCAGGUGAAGCUAGAGAAAGCUGGGACCAGAUUGGAAGAGGCCAGGCAGACUACCUGAAGGGGCUGGAUCUUACAUGAGAACACUGGGAAGCCCCUAAAAUUCUGUAAGCAGGG
rnacentral:lncRNA from 10 species